rnacentral:lncRNA from 1 species
UGAGGAAGCCCAAACCGAAAGAGGAUCAAGCCUUGGCCCAAGUUAAGGAAGCCCAAGGCCACAUAACCCAAUUAUGCAACAACCUUAGAAGACCCUUGCGCACUUGUAUGGACAACCCAACCCACACGCUGCAGUGCGCCCACAUGCACACAACCAGCCAAGCGAAUGCAUAACCCAUGCGCUUGUGCACAGUAAGGCCCGCACGUACGCAAGUUCAAGUCGGGCAGCAACCCUACUUGCAUAGCCCAACAAGCCCACAAGGUCGCACACAUGGGGACCUAGCAGACCGACCUGCACGAUCUAGUAGGCUAGCCGCAAGCCUGCCUCCACCAUGCACGCAACCCAUCCCAUACGUUGGUCUAACCCAUAUAAAUAGUCCAUCCAC